UUAUUAUUCACAUAAUUGAUUUUGAACUCGCAUCGUAAUCAGCAAUCAUGAAGUUGGUCAUAGCCGCCAUUUUGUUCCUGACUGUUGGGGUUCUGAGUGUCCCCACAGAGAGAGACGACAGUGUAACUCAGAGCAAUACAAAUAUGGAUAAUUUGGACCUGUCUAAAGACAUGAUGAGCGAUGUUGAGAAAAGCCUUAUGGAAUGUGUAACAGAUCUAGUUACGGGUAUAAGGAAGUGUAAGAAAGAUUAUAAUGAGGAUCAUAAAGUAGGCCGUCUUGUGGCAUGUCUAACGUUAACAGUCACCAAUUUCUUGUCGUGUGUUAAAUAAAAAACGGUCAGAAAUUUAUAACUUCGAUGCACAAGGAAUUCCUGUCGACCUUUAUUUCACUUAGUAAUUAAAAAAUAAGCCUUUGUUCACAAGCAAUGUUUAUUAUAUCUGUUUAUUUUCUCAUAAGUAUUUGGUAAAGUCUAAACUCUACAACAGCGUGAAGUUCAGACACGAAUGUUGUAUGAUCUAAUGUAUCAAUGACGGUUAUUUUUUUUUGUUUAAAAUAAAUUCUAUUCAAUUUA